AUUGAACGCUGGCGGCAGGCCUAACACAUGCAAGUCGAACGAGUGGGGGACGGGUGAGUAAUGUCUGGGAAACUGCCGGAUGGAGGGGGAUAACUACUGGAAACGGGAGCUAAUACCGCAUACCAUCGGAUGUGCGCAGAUGGGAUUCGCUAGUAGGUGGGGUAAAGGCUCACCGAGGCGACGAUCCCUAGCUGGUCGGUGCGGAUGAACAGCCCCCCUGGAACGGAGCCACGGUCCGGACUCAUCGGGGAGGCAGCGGUGGAGAAUGGUGCACUAGGCACUGGGUCCUGGUGCGGCCCUGCCGCGUAUAUGAAGAAGGGCUUCCUGUUUUGAAGUACUUUCAGCGUGGAGUCGUUACCCGAUGAAGAAGCACCGGCUAACUCCGUGCCAGCAGCCGCGGUAAUAC
rnacentral:rRNA from 1 species